UAGGUAACCAGUGAUGAGAGUAUGCCAUGAGUCAAGGAUUAUGAAUAAUCUAAUUCUGUGCACCUGAUAUCCAAA
rnacentral:snoRNA from 1 species